CUCGAAAGGCGGAAAGGCUGGACCGGGUGGAAAGUCCCCAGGUCAUAAUAAAUAACCUAUUGAGAACAACAUCAAAAAAGGUGCCUGAGUACUUCAGGUUGACAGGAAGUCUGGAUGCCCAGUGAGGGAUAAAUAUGUGAAAGUCAGAGAAGGAAUGGCGUGAGUGAACGAUCCAGGAGAGGGAGAGGAAUACGUGGAACAUGGAAAUGCUGACAGAAAACAUGUUGAGAAAGAACUGUCUGGUAAAGCUCCACCAUCCUGACAGGUGGUUGGGAUUUGUCCCAGUUAACAAAUGAGGGCACUGAGGCUUGGAGGGACUAAGUCACGUGCCCCAGCUCACACCACACCGGCGACACCUGGGCUCCACCUACUGCAAAGCUGACCGACUGCAAAGCUCCUGUGUUUCACUGUCUGCACUACGUUACUCCCCAGCAUAGAGUGAGCGCAGCAGAUUCACGUCGCUGCUGUGCAGAGAGGUAUGCAUUUCUCCCUCCCUAAUAUCUACCAGUGCUUACUCUUCCUUGCGUGCUGUUCAUAGUGUUGAAACAGCUUGAUCCUGACAAACACCCUAUGCUGCAGCUAUCAGCCCCCUCUCUGCAGAUAAGCCCAGGCACAGAUGAGUUUGAUGAUUCUGCCCACGGUCACAGGAUUAGCAAGUAGUUGAGACAAGAGACCCAGCCAGGCAGUCUGUCUCCCGAAGCUCGUCGUGGUGGUGAAGAACCAUGGCAAUGCGAGUGGUUGAUUUUGCUUCCCCCAUGGAGAGAGAAACAAGAAAACGCUAGGAUCGGA